rnacentral:misc_RNA from 1 species
GAUGAAGAACGCAGCGAAAUGCGAUAAGUAAUGCGAAUUGCAGAAUUUCCGUGAGUCAUCGAAUCUUUGAACGCACAUUGCGCCCGCCAGUAUUCUGGCGGGCAUGCCUGUCCGAGCGUCAUUUCAACCCUCGAACCCCUCCGGGGGGUCGGCGUUGGGGAUCGGCCCUUUACGGGGCCGGCCCCGAAAUACAGUGGCGGUCUCGCCGCAGCCUCUCCUGCGCAGUAGUUUGCACACUCGCAUCGGGAGCGCGGCGCGUCCACAGCCGUUAAACACCCCAAACUUCUGAAAUGUUGACCUCGGAUCAGGUAGGAAUACCCGCUGAACUUAAGCAUAUCAAUAAGCGGAGGA